rnacentral:tRNA from 1 species
GCAUGACCACACGCCGGCGCUCGCCUCCCUCCGAAGGCAGAGGCCACAGGUUCGAAUCCUGUCGGGUGCGCCA